rnacentral:lncRNA from 1 species
GGCAGAAUUGUCUGCAUCAAACAAGGAUGUGCAACAGCGUUCACAUCGUAAGACCUGAGCUGAGUUGUUGAGGCAUGUUGGUCUGGGACUUAAACUGCUGCGUUACCUGGUAGGAAACCGGAAAAGCUACCGGUCCCACGAUUGCUUAAAUUGGUGAACAUUGGAGCUGCCUCUUGAAUGGGCCUUUGGGACAUAUUUGGGAAUGCAAUGAACAACAGACCUGGAGAACCAGCAUCACAGAAACUGAGGUUAACAAGAUCUUGGAGCUUCACGACCAAGGGCUUGGUACCUCAUGGUCGCAUGGUCCAACUGAAAAGCACUGGGACAUCUUGCUCUCUGGACACCACCACUGCACAAAGCCCCUGCCAGGUUCCCAGGACCAUCCGUACAGCUGCGGGGCUGGCUCUUCCUCCACCGUAAUUCUGGGUUGCACCUGACCUGUAGGAGAAACCUUUCAGCUAAAAACUUGGAUGUGGCCCUAGGCGUCAAGAAGCAAGCAUGCUGCUCCAGAACUACGAUACGGAUAAAGCAUGGACACGAGGGAGAGCCACGUGGCUGUCCAGUAGAGCUUCCAACAGUCGUGUCAAGUGAUAAUCACUGCAGCCUGACACAAUGAGGUAGCUGUGGCUUGGAACAGGGGAGGGAACAUGGAGUCUUGCCUUUUAGGGUUUGUUGCUUCCCUUUUGCUGUACAAGGUGUCGCAGAGAGCUCUGAAGCUGGAUUCGCUGCUGCUGAACUCCUUAUGAAGUCAAUGGAGUUGCUAUUCCACCUCUCCGCUUGCUUAAAGUGUGUGUUGUAGAUCUCCCUUCACCCAUUCAUUCAUUUCUUCCCUUUUAAUGAGUAGGUUAAAUUUCUUGUGUGGUACAGCAAGCAUUUGAGAUGUGAAGGUUCCUUUUCCUCAUCUCCCUCUUAUUGAAGGUGGCUUUGCUCCCAGUAACUCCUGUCAUGACAUAAUUGGACCUUAUUCUCACAUAAAUACCAGAGUUAGAGUUACUGUUGUUGGGUUUUUCCAUUAUUUUGGGUGGCUGAUAUUUUUCACAUUCCUAUUCUCUUCUUAACGCAAAGCUGACUACAUUUACUAGGUUUGUUUGCCUUCCUCAGAAGGACUUGAAUAUUAGUCCUCAACUUGUCUGUGUAUCUCUACUUUUCUUACUCUCCCCUUUCAUUGAUUUAUGACACAUGUGGAGGCCAAGAGGCAGUACAGGACAUGAAUCAUAUAAAAAGAAUGCAGACAUUUCAUUUGCGUAAGUUAAUUGUUUUAUUUUUACCUGUCCCUUGUGUUUCUGCAAUCCUAUGGGUGGUGUCUUAGAAAAAUACAGAUAGUAGACUGGACCACUGCCAAGUGCUGCAAGUAUCACAUGCUUUGCAAAAGGUUGCAACAUCUUAGUGGGAAUGAUUAUCUUCACAGUAGAGAUGGUAA